UCCUUCACUGGCCUCAGAAUAAUUACCUCUCAUGCAGUGUAAAGAGGCCAGGGUUCAGAAAGCCCUUUUUGAAGGUCACCAAUGGCUUUGUGACACCAGGGGACUCCUCCAGGGGCUCUGGGAUGCCUCGAUGAUGCCCCAAGCUAACAUCUGUUCUAGUUCACUUCGUACUGGGGUGUAGAAUGCCUGGGGUAGCCUCCUCCAGUGUUCUCGUACCACCUAUCCAGGGCUCACCUUGCUACAGCAGCCUUUGAUCUGCCACAGCCCCAGCUGGUUUGAGAUGAGGCGCUUUUCCCAUCUGGGCUCACCGUGGUUUCUCCUGCCUCUAGGGUGUUGCACCAAGGAGAUGUAUACAGGAACCCAGGAAGGAAACAGAAGGAUCAAACUACCUUUACCAUAUGGCUGCUGGAAGCAUUUCAUUGCUGAGCAUCUGUAAUAGCAAGUCCUAAAUAUAUGGGGCAGCAUCAGCACCAAGCAUACAAAUAACAGUAUAACACCAGGAUGCCAUGCCCUUCUAAGCAAUAUCUGGAUUCAAACUGGAGAUUUUAUUGUUUAUGACGUGUUCUUGGUGACCUGAGGAUUCAAGGUUCAAAAGCUCUUGCUCCUAUGGAUUAUCACCAACUACUUAAAUGCUCUGCAGUUGCAGAGAUCUUAAAGAGGUUGCCUUUAGGGAUGGAAAGGGAUGAUUGCUGGCCAAAGUAAAUAAGUUAAGCAUUUAGUCUGAAUUCCUUUCUAUAUAGUUUUGGAACUCAAGGGAGCUGCUUGUCAGGGACAGGGCUGAGGACCACUGGUUGGGAUGGAUUAAGAACUAAAGGGGCACGUCUACACAUGCGCCCCACAGCACAAUUGGUACUCUGCAGUCAUUUAUUCCUUUCUACUAAAGCUAAAGCAAGUGCUAAAUGACUGCGCAGUACCCACUGGUACUGCAGUCCUAGAAGUGCACAGGUCAUUACUGACCCUACUGUGCACUAGCUCAUUGCUAUUGUGCAGUAGCUGUGGCAUCAUGGUUAGUGCCCGCCUAUACUACGUCGCCAUAGCGAUGAACUACAUCGCCGUAGCUCAUUGUUAUGGUGACAUAGCAUCUUGUGUAGAUGUGCCCAAGGAGAAUUGGAGGAUUUGGUCCCAAGAGAGGAGCAGCAUAAGGAAGACAAGGAUUUCAGAAAUCCCAGGUGUGAUUUACUAGGCCUGUGCGAAGUGGCUAGUGUUCGCCUCGGAUUCAGAUUUGGCUGAUUUGGAGGACAGUGAUUCAAUUUGAUGAUUCGAAUCACUGUCCUGAUUCGAUUCGGCUGAAUCUAAUUUGGAGAUUUGGCAGCAGCCAAAUCUCUGAAUCUCCGAAUCAACCAGGUCAGGCCCAUCCCCCACCCCUCUCCCAGCCCAGCAAUGGCUGCCCCGCCAACCCCAGCUCCUGGCACUUGGGUGGAAAAAAGCCCCAGCUCAGUCGGUGCUGCCAGGCAGGGGGGGAGGUUAUCUCCACUGCCCCACACUGUGUGGGGGGCUCUGCAUGAGCCCCUGAACCCCCCUCACUUCCCCAGCCCCCUCACAGGUGUCCCACCUGGGCCAGCUCCAGCCCUUUAAGAAAAAAAAACCUGAAGUAACCCUGGGACUCACCGCCCCUGCUGGGGGGGGGAGGGGGGGGCUCUGCAGGAGCCCCCGAAGCCCCGAGGCAGCACCCAGUGAGCACCAGGGCUUUUUUUUAAAGUACCAAGCUGGGGCAGACGGGGGCAGCCACUGGGGGGCUGGGGGAGUGGGUGAGGGUUGGGGGAGCAGGGGGGGGUUGGAGGGGCUGGCAGGGGUCCCCCCAUGGUCCCCUCCUCCAGCCCUGCCUCCCCUGCCCCUAGUACUUACUAGCUUGGAGUGGCUGCAGCUCCCUGCUGCAGCCACCGGGUACUGUCCAAA